rnacentral:rRNA from 1 species
UACGGGGGAAGCAAGCGUUGUUCGGAUUUACUGGGCGUAAAGGGCGCGUAGGCGGCGUGACAAGUCACUUGUGAAAUCUCCGGGCUUAACUCGGAGCGGUCAAGUGAUACUGUCGUGCUAGAGUGCGGAAGGGGCUACUGGAAUUCUCGGUGUAGCGGUGAAAUGCGUAGAUAUCAAGAGGAACACCUGAGGUGAAGACGGGUUGCUGGGCCGACACUGACGCUGAGGCACGAAGGUCAGGGGAGCAAACGGG